UAAUCCCUAGUAGAGAUGGAGCAUGAGGCCCAGGAAACAUGAAGUAACUAUGAGUCCAGAACAGUUCAUCAUUCUGUCAGACCACCUAGUCACAAGGUUAGGCUCUGCCAGCAUCAGUCAUCUUAUGAUGCAGGUAUUACAUUUUGGAUUGAGCACAAGCAGGGCCAGAGAACAUAAGCAAGCCGAUGAUGGGAAAUCUUUGGGCAGUGUACUGGUCAUCCACUUUGUGCAGAGAGAGCAGUGGACCAAGUUUCCAGAAAAAGAGACCAACCAGAAUCCUGGAGAUUUUCCCAGAUGGUGCAAAUGUUCUACAUGAAGCAUGAUCUGAGCAUUCCAAGACGUGCAUUCUAGAAGAUUUUCUGGUAUACCACCCAGAAUCUUCUUCAGGACAAAAACACACAUGCUCCCAGUAGUCAGGAGUAUUUGCUGCAAAUGACUCAUAGCUGUGGCUCUCUCCAGACCUUGCCCUCUAUUGAAGGGAGCUCACUCAAAGUUAUGUACCCCUCCCCAGGGCAGCUGAAAUCUAAGGACUGGUCUUGGUGAGGUGACAAGGGCUCAGCUCUCUUGCUUCAGCUGUGGAUAUGCCUGAAGGCCCAGCCCUUCAGAAUUCCCUGUGGGAUUGGCUGAAGCUUCUGUUGAAAAUACUUUGCAAUUCUACAUUUUCAUCUGCCCAAUCCUUCCUUCCCUCCCUCAGAUUUUUGCUGUGAGCACACCCCAAUAAACCUCCUGCACUCAAA